ensembl:lncRNA
UGGGUCUCCGAGGCUUGGCGGACUCGGCCCAGCGCCAGGGUCCGACCUCCGCUCCCUCCCGGAAUUCCUUAUGGUUGCCGGGGUGACGCCUCUUUUUCUUCUCGCCGCUUUCUGUGGAGAGGGGCUCAGGCUGGCCCGCUGGGGCUGCAGCUCGCCGCUUCCUGGGGUGUGCUGGUCGCUUCUCUCGUUGCUGAGACAGAAUGCCCGGCACCAGAGCUGGGCCGAGUUUACUGGGCUCACAGUCGGAGGUUGCGGCCGGGUCCGGCGGGCGCGGAAGCAGCAAGGGGCCUAACGGCGCUCUCUGCCCUGGUGGUCAGGGCGGCGCCGGGCCAGUCGCUCGGGUCCUCUAUGUAGCUCAGGCCGGCCUUGAACUCACUGUGUAGCCCAGGCUGACUUCAAACUUGCAGUGAUCCUCCUGCUUCAGCCUCCUGAGUGCUGGGAUUACAGGUGUGCACCACCACACCCAGUCUAACAGGUUUCUCAACACAUCUUUCUGCUCCCACGGACUCUGCUUUUCAUCAUGGCUACAGCAAGUGGUGAGACAAACUGGACGUCUCCGCCGUGUGAGAGGUCAGAGCAAGGGUCAAAGUCAGAAACCCAUCUGCAAACCUCCGGGGUCUCCUGAAGUCGGCCUGAGUGCCUUGCCUUGUUUGUGUCUGUACUGGAAAAGGGCCCUGGAGCCGGAACCCCUCCUUGGGACUCUCCAAGAGGCCGAGCACUGUGAGUUGAAGGAGUGGGAAACUCCACCCCGCCUGUGUCCUUCCUGGAUCAGAGCUGACUGGGGGGCUGAAGCUGAGGUUUCUGAGGCACUUGGGGAGGGUGGCCUGGUUUCCUAGGCUAAGGAGACUCCCGGUGUGGCUGCUUCUGUAAACACAUGGGGGCUGAGAAGGGGCCUCAGUGACUUCAGUCUCCUCUCUGGGCUUCUUCAAGUGCCACACCUGGGCCUUCGCAGAAAGCAGUUGCUGAUAAAGAGCCAUGAGAGCCUGAGCACAAGGAAUUUCACGCCAGUGUCCCUGCCUUUUGCAGAAUAGAUCUAGCUGAAGAACAGUGCUGUGAUUUAGAUGAAUUCUGUACCCAUCUGUCACCAUUUCUGAGUUCAUACCGCACCAAACAGUUCUGCAAUAGGAGAUGAGCGUUUUUUUCUCUCAGAUAGUCAGGGUCCAUUUAUUUCCACUUUGAAGGGUGGAGCCUCAUGAUGAGGUUGCUGGGAUCGCAGGGUGUUUCCUGUGGGGCUUCUGGGGCCUCUGGGCUGGCUCACCAAGAAAUGCUACCACAUGUGGGUCCCAGGGAAAUUCCUUCCAGGUUCUUGGUGUCUUGGACAAGACACAGGGAAAACGUAGUGGAGAUGUACAUUUAUUGAAGGUGGGAAAGAAGUUCACUCUGCAGAGUGAAACCGAGCUAGUGAACAGACUCACAGUGGCCAAAAAAGUAAAAUUCCGAGACAGUCUCACUAAAUUCCCCAGCUGACCUCAAACUUGCAAUCCUCCUGCUUCAGCCUUCCCAGUAGCUAGGAUUACGGUAUGUGUCACAGUUCCUGACUUCAUUUGACUCUUUUUUUAUGGCUUCCAUUUCUCUACUACGUAUUAAUUGAAUAAUUAUAAAAUGUUUUUCUUUGUAUCAUUAAAC